GGGUUGUGAGGUUAAGCGACUAAGCGUACACGGUGGAUGCCCUGGCAGUCAGAGGCGAUGAAGGACGUGCUAAUCUGCGAAAAGCGUCGGUAAGGUGAUAUGAACCGUUACAGCCGGCGAUGUCCGAAUGGGGAAACCCAGUGUGAUUCGUCACACUAUCGUUAACUGAAUACAUAGGUUAACGAGGCGAACCGGGGGAACUGAAACAUCUAAGUACCCCGAGGAAAAGAAAUCAACCGAGAUUCCCCCAGUAGCGGCGAGCGAACGGGGAGCAGCCCAGAGUCUGAAUCAGCUUGUGUGUUAGUGGAACGGUCUGGAAAGUCCGACGGUACAGGGUGAUAGUCCCGUACACCAAAAUGCACAGGUUGUGAACUCGAAGAGUAGGGCGGGACACGUGGUAUCCUGUCUGAAUAUGGGGGGACCAUCCUCCAAGGCUAAAUACUCCUGACUGACCGAUAGUGAACCAGUACCGUGAGGGAAAGGCGAAAAGAACCCCGGCGAGGGGAGUGAAAAAGAACCUGAAACCGUGUACGUACAAGCAGUGGGAGCACCUUUAUGGUGUGACUGCGUACCUUUUGUAUAAUGGGUCAGCGACUUAUAUUCUGUAGCAAGGUUAACCGUAUAGGGGAGCCGCAGGGAAACCGAGUCUUAACUGGGCGUUAAGUUGCAGGGUAUAGACCCGAAACCCGGUGAUCUAGCCAUGGGCAGGUUGAAGGUUGGGUAACACUAACUGGAGGACCGAACCGACUAAUGUUGAAAAAUUAGCGGAUGACUUGUGGCUGGGGGUGAAAGGCCAAUCAAACCGGGAGAUAGCUGGUUCUCCCCGAAAGCUAUUUAGGUAGCGCCUCGUGAAUUCAUCUUCGGGGGUAGAGCACUGUUUCGGCUAGGGGGUCAUCCCGACUUACCAACCCGAUGCAAACUACGAAUACCGAAGAAUGUUAUCACGGGAGACACACGGCGGGUGCUAACGUCCGUCGUGAAGAGGGAAACAACCCAGACCGCCAGCUAAGGUCCCAAAGUCACAGUUAAGUGGGAAACGAUGUGGGAAGGCACAGACAGCCAGGAUGUUGGCUUAGAAGCAGCCAUCAUUUAAAGAAAGCGUAAUAGCUCACUGGUCGAGUCGGCCUGCGCGGAAGAUGUAACGGGGCUAAACUGUGCACCGAAGCUGCGGCAGCGACACUUAGGUGUUGUUGGGUAGGGGAGCGUUCUGUAAGCCUGCGAAGGUGGCCUGUGAGGGUUGCUGGAGGUAUCAGAAGUGCGAAUGCUGACAUAAGUAACGAUAAUGCGGGUGAAAAGCCCGCACGCCGGAAGACCAAGGGUUCCUGUCCAACGUUAAUCGGGGCAGGGUGAGUCGACCCCUAAGGCGAGGCCGAAAGGCGUAGUCGAUGGGAAACAGGUUAAUAUUCCUGUACUUGGUGUUACUGCGAAGGGGGGACGGAGAAGGCUAUGUUAGCCGGGCGACGGUUGUCCCGGUUUAAGCAUGUAGGCGGAGGUUCCAGGUAAAUCCGGUACCUUUUAACGCUGAGGUGUGAUGACGAGGCAUUACGGUGCUGAAGUAACAAAUGCCCUGCUUCCAGGAAAAGCCUCUAAGCAUCAGGUAACAUUGAAUCGUACCCCAAACCGACACAGGUGGUCAGGUAGAGAAUACCAAGGCGCUUGAGAGAACUCGGGUGAAGGAACUAGGCAAAAUGGUGCCGUAACUUCGGGAGAAGGCACGCUGAUAUGUAGGUGAAGUCCCUGCGGAUGGAGCUGAAAUCAGUCGAAGAUACCAGCUGGCUGCAACUGUUUAUUAAAAACACAGCACUGUGCAAACACGAAAGUGGACGUAUACGGUGUGACGCCUGCCCGGUGCCGGAAGGUUAAUUGAUGGGGUUAUCCGUAAGGAGAAGCUCUUGAUCGAAGCCCCGGUAAACGGCGGCCGUAACUAUAACGGUCCUAAGGUAGCGAAAUUCCUUGUCGGGUAAGUUCCGACCUGCACGAAUGGCGUAAUGAUGGCCAGGCUGUCUCCACCCGAGACUCAGUGAAAUUGAACUCGCUGUGAAGAUGCAGUGUACCCGCGGCAAGACGGAAAGACCCCGUGAACCUUUACUAUAGCUUGACACUGAACAUUGAGCCUUGAUGUGUAGGAUAGGUGGGAGGCUUUGAAGCGUGGACGCCAGUCUGCGUGGAGCCAACCUUGAAAUACCACCCUUUAAUGUUUGAUGUUCUAACGUUGGCCCCUGACCGGGGUUGCGGACAGUGUCUGGUGGGUAGUUUGACUGGGGCGGUCUCCUCCCAAAGAGUAACGGAGGAGCACGAAGGUUAGCUAAUCCUGGUCGGACAUCAGGAGGUUAGUGCAAUGGCAUAAGCUAGCUUGACUGCGAGCGUGACGGCGCGAGCAGGUGCGAAAGCAGGUCAUAGUGAUCCGGUGGUUCUGAAUGGAAGGGCCAUCGCUCAACGGAUAAAAGGUACUCCGGGGAUAACAGGCUGAUACCGCCCAAGAGUUCAUAUCGACGGCGGUGUUUGGCACCUCGAUGUCGGCUCAUCACAUCCUGGGGCUGAAGUAGGUCCCAAGGGUAUGGCUGUUCGCCAUUUAAAGUGGUACGCGAGCUGGGUUUAGAACGUCGUGAGACAGUUCGGUCCCUAUCUGCCGUGGGCGCUGGAGAAUUGAGGGGGGCUGCUCCUAGUACGAGAGGACCGGAGUGGACGCAUCACUGGUGUUCGGGUUGUCAUGCCAAUGGCAUUGCCCGGUAGCUAAAUGCGGAAGAGAUAAGUGCUGAAAGCAUCUAAGCACGAAACUUGCCCCGAGAUGAGUUCUCCCUGAGACUUUAAGUCUCCUGAAGGAACGUUAAAGACGAUGACGUUGAUAGGUCGGGUGUGUAAGCGUAGCGAUACGUUGAGCUAACCGAUACUAAUGAACCGUGAGGCUUAACCUUACAACGCCGAAG
rnacentral:rRNA from 1 species